rnacentral:rRNA from 1 species
GACGAACGCUGGCGGCGUGCUUAACACAUGCAAGUCGAACGGAAAGGCCCUGCUUUUGUGGGGUGCUCGAGUGGCGAACGGGUGAGUAACACGUGAGUAACCUGCCCCUGACUUUGGGAUAACUUCAGGAAACUGGGGCUAAUACCGGAUAGGAGCUCCUGCUGCAUGGUGGGGGUUGGAAAGUUUCGGCGGUUGGGGAUGGACUGGCGGGUUAUCAGCUUGUUGGUGGAGUAGUGGCUUACCAAGGGUUUGACGGAUAGCCGGCCUGAGAGGGUGACCGGCCACAUUGGGACUGAGAUACGGCCCAGACUCCUACGGGAGGCAGCAGUGGGAAAUAUUGCAGAAUGGGCGGACGCCUGAUGCAGCAACCCCGCGUGCGGGAUGACGGCCUUCGGGUUGUAAACCGCUUUCGCCUGUGACGAAGCGUGAGUGACGGUAAUGGGUAAAGAAGCACCGGCUAACUACGUG